rnacentral:rRNA from 1 species
GAGCGGAAGGCCCUUCGGGGUACUCGAGCGGCGAACGGGUGAGUAACACGUGAGCAACCUGCCCUAGGCUUUGGGAUAACCCCGGGAAACCGGGGCUAAUACCGAAUAUGACCUCGCAUCGCAUGGUGUGUGGUGGAAAGUUUUUCGGCCUGGGAUGGGCUCGCGGCCUAUCAGCUUGUUGGUGGGGUGAUGGCCUACCAAGGCGACGACGGGUAGCCGGCCUGAGAGGGCGACCGGCCACACUGGGACUGAGACACGGCCCAGACUCCUACGGGAGGCAGCAGUGGGGAAUAUUGCACAAUGGGCGGAAGCCUGAUGCAGCGACGCCGCGUGAGGGAUGACGGCCUUCGGGUUGUAAACCUCUUUCAGCAGGGACGAAGCGUAAGUGACGGUACCUGCAGAAGAAGCGCCGGCCAACUACGUGCCAGCAGCCGCGGUAAGACGUAGGGCGCGAGCGUUGUCCGGAUUUAUUGGGCGUAAAGAGCUCGUAGGCGGCUUGUCGCGUCGACCGUGAAAACCUGGGGCUCAACCCCAGGCCUGCGGUCGAUACGGGCAGGCUAGAGUUCGGUAGGGGAGACUGGAAUUCCUGGUGUAGCGGUGAAAUGCGCAGAUAUC